rnacentral:rRNA from 1 species
CCUACGGGUGGCUGCAGUGGGGGAUAUUGCACAAUGGGCGAAACCCUGACGCAGCAACGCCGCGUGAGUGAAGAAGUAUUUCGGUAUGUAAAGCUCUAUUAGCAGGGAAGAGACUGAUGGUGCCUGCUUAAGAAGCCCCGGCUAACUACUUGCCAGCAGCCGCGGUAAUACGUAGGGGGCGAGCGUUAUCCGGAUUUACUGGGUGUAAAGGGAGCGUAGACGGCUGGUCAAGUCUGAAGUGAAAGCCAGGGGCUUAACCCCGGAACGGCUUUGGAAACUGAGCAGCUAGAGUGCUGGAGAGGUAAGCGGAAUUCCUAGUGUAGCGGUGAAAUGCGUAGAUAUUAGGAGGAACACCAGUGGCGAAGGCGGCUUACUGGACAGUAACUGACGCUGAUGCUCGAAAGUGUGGGUAUCAAACAGGAUUAGAUACCCGGGUAGUC